rnacentral:rRNA from 1 species
GGCGAACGGGUGAGUAAUGCAUCGGAACGUGCCCAGUAGUGGGGGAUAGCCCGGCGAAAGCCGGAUUAAUACCGCAUACGACCUACGGGUGAAAGCGGGGGACCGCAAGGCCUCGCGCUAUUGGAGCGGCCGAUGUCAGAUUAGGUAGUUGGUGGGGUAAAGGCCUACCAAGCCUACGAUCUGUAGCUGGUCUGAGAGGACGACCAGCCACACUGGGACUGAGACACGGCCCAGACUCCUACGGGAGGCAGCAGUGGGGAAUUUUGGACAAUGGGCGCAAGCCUGAUCCAGCCAUGCCGCGUGCGGGAAGAAGGCCUUCGGGUUGUAAACCGCUUUUGUCAGGGAAGAAACGCUCUGGGCUAAUACCCCGGGGUAAUGACGGUACCUGAAGAAUAAGCACCGGCUAACUACGUGCCAGCAGCCGCGGUAAUACGUAGGGUGCGAGCGUUAAUCGGAAUUACUGGGCGUAAAGCGUGCGCAGGCGGUUAUGCAAGACAGAUGUGAAAUCCCCGGGCUUAACCUGGGAACUGCAUUUGUGACUGCAUAGCUAGAGUAC